AUGGACGGCUCCAGCCCAUAUUACGACGCGGCCGCCGGUGAACAGACACGCCCUGCCCCGGCCCGCUUAGUCUCAAUCUCUCAGCCAGGCAGCUUCAUCACAGAGUUUCGGCUACUGGAGCGAGACACUUACUUUCAUGGUUUCAUGCGCGGAGGUAACGGCGAUGGACACGAUGACGGGUCGUCUGGGUACAGAUACGGCAGCUUCGGCGCGGUCCCGGCGUCCGAGGAGGCCAUCGCCGGGCUGGAGGAGGCGGCCGUCGAGGAGACGAGGGAGGCGGAGUGCGCUGUAUGCAAGGAGAGCUUCGAGGUAGGCGACAAGAUCAGGAAGAUGCCGUGCUCGCGUGGAUACCACGAGAGCUGCAUCUUCAGGUGGCUCCGGAUCAGCCGCGCCUGCCCGCUCUGCCGCUUCCCGGUGUCCGCCGCCGACGACCGGACCGAGUAG
rnacentral:rRNA from 1 species